ACCAACCUACCGAAGGGAACGCCCCUCCACCCGCGCGACGACAUCUGUGUCAAGCCCGCCAUUGCCCUCGCCGGUCUCGUCCGUCGCACCCUUCACUCCGGCGACAGCGGCGGUGCACCCUCCCCGCCGGUCUCCUCGUCCUUCUAAUUGCCAUGGCCUGCGGCAGAGACUCUGGAGCGGCAGAGGAGGAUGACGUGGAUCACUGGGCGCUGUCCUGACCCUCAAGUAGAUCGAGAACGCCUACCGCGCCAUGUCCCGCCUCCGCCAGCCGGACAAGCGCCCCGACGACCCGAAGGCCACCGCGGAUUUCCAGCGCCUCAAGUCAUCCGUCGAGCUCCUCAAUGACGAGCCCAAGCGCCGCGGGUUCGACGCCCGCCUCCGUGCCCGCCGCGACCUCGCCUUCCGCCACUCCGCGUUCAGUGCCCAGCGCCGCAAAUUCGAUGCCGACCUCGAUGAGAGCGAUCGUGCAGCGGCAGCAGGGGGGAAGGAGGAGGUCCUCGAGCCGGCCGACCAGGCCGAACGCCGGGAGACGAAGGUCGCCACCGAGCUAAAGAGGGAAUUCGAAAAGUUCCAAUCCCGGAUGGCCACUGAGAAAGCCGCUCACACCUUCCACAUCUGUAAGAUUAGAAGACAUCAGGGAAGGAGAAGGGAGAGGAGAAUGGAGGGGUGGCUGCAUUGGAUAAGGAGAGGGUUUUCAAGGUCUUCUGGAAGAGAGAGUUGGGAGAUUACAGUGCUGUCAAGCUGCAAGAGCUGUUUGAGAGGUUUGGAGGAGGAUAAAAAAAGAAGGGUUCUGCCAUUGUUGUUAUGUCUUCCAAGGAUGCUGCGUGACAUAGAAAGUUUUUGUUGCAUUCUCCCACCUUUUCAUGUAGUAAUAUUAUCAUGCCAGAGCCAAAACCAUAGAAGCAAGUCUGUUUUUGGUGGCGACUACACAGUAUGAUUGGCAGUCUCUCAAAUCCUUUGUUAGUUCUUCCUCUUCAAGCUGCUUGUAAUAGUUCUUCUGCAAGGUCUACUGAACCAAUCAGCCCAAGACUCGGCAACAUUGUUGGUGCUGGGUUUCAAGAUUAUAAGGCUUCUGUCAUGGAGAAACUUCAAAAGGCCAAUGAAAAGAAGAGAAAAAUGUAAUAAUAUUGCUUAUUUCGGAGAUAGUGAAAUCGGUUAAUUUUUCUUUGACAACUUUUAUGUGAAGGGUGGAGGAUACAUUUUUCUCUCACAGAAGGAAACAAGACUUACCCACAGAUAUUGCAUUUGGAAGGAAUUUUACCUUCUCAUAGAACUUGUACGUUAGCUGCAGUGUCCCUUCUGCAUCUGGGUGCUGUAUAUUAGCUCAUCUAAGGGCAUCUGAUCUUGCAAAUGUGAUGUACCAGUCUCCAAUGACAUUUUGCUUUGGGGUAUUCUUUAGCAUUGGGUCUGUUACAACCCUUUUUAAGCACUGUCAAAGAACAAUCCCAUGAAUCAACAAUGAGGAGUUGGAGAAUUUAUAAUGGGCAAGAAUCGACCUUGUUGUAGUCA